UAUAUUAUCAUAAUAGGUAUGCAGUUUUGCAAGGAUAUCUUUAGAAGAGCAGUAUUGUCACGUAAUGAUUUUUAUACAGAUAAUUGAGCGACAGCUCUGAUUCACUUUUAUGAUGUUGCUUCUGUUUACUGAUUCAUUUGAGCGAUAUGCUCGCCCGUGCUAUCUGAUAUUAUUCUUUUCUACUUGUUUACCUACAUAUACUGCUGUUCUUUACUUCUAACGACAUUCAUACACGGAUGCAUGCAUUCAGUACCACUUCCGACAGUACACUUCGUACUUCUACCUGAUUUCUUUCCUAAUAACAAUUCCCUGCCUCGCAUUGCCUUUCUGUUACCGUUAAUGCAUAUUAUCAUAUGUUAGCAUACCGGCCGGUUUAGCCGUGCCGUGACCUUUAAUUACUUUGCUCUGCCAUAAAUUAUGUAACAAACUGGUCCGACGACUGAGAAGUACCUGUCGGUUACUUCAGCUGUCAGUUAUUAUUUGUAUUAUUGUUUCCUUUUCUUGAUGCACGAUGCUUUAAUACGACGAUACCAUCAUCCCUUCACAGCGGCUGCCGCUGCCACUGCCGUUACUUCUGUGCCGCAUUCGAGCAGCGUAAUUUUCCUAGCGCCAGCAAGCCGUAUUGCACCGGGAACUGCUUUCCGCGCGCGCUUUCCGAUUUUGUCGUUAGCAAUACCAGCUUAACAUGUUACGUCGCAAAUGCGUUCUGUGUUCAGCCUCCUUUGGGCCUGCACCACCUUGUAAUCCACAAGCCUGAUGUAAGCCGACCGGCUCAAUUAGGCUUGGAUCAACACACUAUUUCCUGCGCGGACACACCCGUGAACUCCCUACAUCUGACCGAAUCGUUUCUCGCGUUGGACCAAUUAUGCACGACUGUGGAUGGACGGAUACCGUUUGGAUUCCACACGUGUUCCCCGACCUUUUCGUCUCUUUACGUUGUUUCCGUACUGCUAUGGACGCUGGGCCCUUUGAUAACGGAGGACCGUCAACCAACAGCUCAAUAUGGUCGCUCGUUUUGCCGCUCAUGUAUAGUCAGCCAGCAAAUGAAUUAAAAUUUCAAAAAAUAUUAUCCCAAAAUUUCAAAAAUAUUCUAUUUUAUUUUGAUUGUUUGUCUACUUUGCGUAAUUAAUUUUUUGUCGAUUUUGUUCUUUUUAAUUAAAUUGUCAGGUUCUUGCAUUAUAUAUAGGCAGGUUUAAAAUCGUCAGGAUCAUAGUAUUAAAUUUUCCCAAUAUAAAAGAUCGCUUUUUUCUAGGAGAAAAUUUAUCAAAAGAUACUGGUUUGGAAAGUUCUUUCGACAAUAGUGAGAUUUUAUUCGAAAUUUAAAAAAAGUUCUUGCAGAUAAACUCGGUUCUAUCCCCGGGAACCCAGUUACAUCAGGUUCGCUAACUGAAGCUUUAGGUCGCCGCAUUUUAUCAGUUAUUACAGCCUUGAAGAGGUGACCGAGUGCUCAUAUCGAUUGCCCUGCAUUACAACCAUGGUUAGAGCAUAGUAUUUUUGUAUAUAGAUGGAAAUCAAACUUUUCUUAGGCAAAAUUUAAUUUUGAAAUUCAAAUAAUUUACGAAUAUUCUGGUGCAGCAGUUGGUUUGCACAGUGUCUACGCGAAUCAAAAUUGCUCACAGGCCUCACGAUUAACCCACUCCAGUCUAGAAUCGAUGUACAAAAACCUGUCUGAAACAGCAAUACCAUCUGCUGUGAAGUCUCUGCGAAAAAAAAACAAAAAAAAACUUGUCUGCAACAGCAUAAAUUUGGCUGUAAUGUCUCUGACCAAAACCUGUCAGCAACAGCACUGAAAAUUGCUGUGAAAAAAAAAACAGAACAGAAUUACGUAAAGGAUCGUACACGCGCGACUCGAUCGCAGAAGACGCAAAAUUACCAGUCAGACACGAGUUUAGCAUCGUAGACUGAAUGCACUGAAGUUGCAUUAAAAAAGGGGAAAAGAGGCGUGUGUUUAGAAAAGCGAACGAACAAUGUUUAAAACCAGUGACUUAAUAUCUAUAAAUUAGAUUUUUGGUAUCAAUUUUGCCUCAGAAAGUGAGAUGUCUAUUUAUUUGCUUGAAUACGGUGUUCUGUUGUGGUUUUGGUGUAUGGUUAACCGCGGAUCAAAGUUCAAGUUCAAGUGCGACCGAAUGAUAUCAUCGACAGAACCGCAUUUGUUAUGAAAAUGAGUCAGGGAAUUUAAAAUCCAAAACAUUUAUAAAAUGAAAAUUUGGUUCGAACCGGUUUUCCUCAAAAGGUUUCCAAAAAUAAAAUUCAAAUUAUUACGCUGUUGUAUCUGUAUUUCUUCCAACUGUAUCGAGCAUAACUAUUAUUUCCAUAUUAUAAUUCGAUGUACAAUAAAUUUGUUUCGGAAAUUUCAAAGCAUAAAAACAGCUGCUUAAUCGUAUUGCUGGUUGACUCGCUUUUCUGCUUUUCUUAUAGUAAUUAUGGACUGCGGACAGUCCUUUCACACGGAGAGAAGUGUCACGUAAUGAUUUUUAUACAGAUAAUUGAGCGACAGCUCUGAUUCACUUUUAUGAUGUUGCUUCUGUUUACUGAUUCAUUUGAGCGAUAUGCUCGCCCGUGCUAUCUGAUAUUAUUCUUUUCUACUUGUUUACCUACAUAUACUGAUGUUCUUUACUUCUAACGACAUUCAUACACGGAUGCAUGCAUUCAGUACCACUUCCGACAGUACACUUCGUACUUCUACCUGAUUUCUUUCCUAAUAACAAUUCCCUGCCUCGCA